rnacentral:rRNA from 1 species
AACGAACGCUGGCGGCAUGCCUAACACAUGCAAGUCGAACGAGACCUUCGGGUCUAGGGGCGCACGGGUGCGUAAGGCGUGGGAACCUGCCCUUAGGUUCGGAAUAAUUCCCCGAAAGGGGUGCUAAUACCGGUUAAUGUCUUCGGACCAAAGAUUUAUCGCCUUUGGAUGGGCCCGCGUUGGAUUCGCUAGUUGGUAGGGUAAAAGCCUACCAAGGCGACGAUCCAUAGCUGGUCUGAGAGGAUGAGCAGCCACACUGGGACUGAGACACGGCCCAGACUCCUACGGGAAGCAGCAGUGGGGAAUAUUGGACAAUGGGCGAAAGCCUGAUCCAGCAAUGCCGCGUGAGUGAUGAAGGCCUUAGGGUUGUAAAGCUCUUUUACCCGGGAUGAUAAUGACAGUACCGGGAGAAUAAGCUCCGGCUAACUCCGUG